rnacentral:misc_RNA from 1 species
CUUUUUUCUUUUUUUUUUUUUUAAUCACUCACGACUUUCUCUCGCGUAUCAGUCUAUGAUUAUGAAGCGAAACUAGCAAUUUCAGGAGUCGAUGACCUUGGCACCCGGCCCUUAUCUAAACAUAGACCGUGAAUUAGUCAUUACACUUGUGGUCUGCCACCUGUUCGUACUGUUCUUUCUCAUUUUUCAAGGACGCUUUUAUUUUACAUCAAAGAGUAAGGUGGUUCGUCAACGAUCAUACACACAGGACAAAGUAAAUUGGCUUUCAAUGGGCAGAAAAAGGUGAAAGAUAAGCGUAUGCAACCAGUCAUUGUACACUGCCUGAUUACGGCAUCGAUACGAGGUGCAACGCGGCCCAGAUUUUCAAAUCAAGGCCAGGAUAUUUGC